rnacentral:rRNA from 1 species
UACAGAGAGUGCAAGCGUUAAUCGGAAUUACUGGGCGUAAAGCGCACGUAGGUGGAUACUUAAGUCGGAUGUGAAAUCCCUGGGCUUAACCCGGGAACUGCAUCCGAUACUGGGUAUCUAGAGUAUGGUAGAGGGAAGUGGAAUUUCCGGUGUAGCGGUGAAAUGCGUAGAUAUCGGAAAGAACACCAGUGGCGAAAGCGGCUUCCUGGACUAAUACUGACACUAAGGUGCGAAAGCGUGGGGAGCAAACAGG